rnacentral:tRNA from 1 species
CCGAAAUCGGUAGACGCUACGGACUUAAAAUCCGUCGACUUUAGAAAUCGUGAGGGUU